AUCGCUUCUCGGCCUUUUGGCUAAGAUCAAGUGUAGUAUCUGUUCUUAUCAGUUUAAUACCUGAUACGUCCUCCAUUCGAGGACUUUAUAUAGCCUUUUGGCUAAGAUCAAUC
ensembl:snRNA U2 U2 spliceosomal RNA